GAUGAACGCUAGCGGGAGGCCUAACACAUGCAAGCUGAGCGGUAGAAGAUCUUCGGAUCUUUGAGAGCGGCGCACGGGUGCGGAACACGUGUGCAAUCUACCUUUUACAGGGGGAUAGCCCAGAGAAAUUUGGAUUAAUACCUCAUAGUAUUAUGAAAUGGCAUCAUUUUAUAAUUAAAGUCACAACGGUAAAAGAUGAG
rnacentral:rRNA from 1 species